UCUCUCUCUCUCUCUCUCUCUCUCUCUCUCUCUCUCUCUCUCUCUCUCUCUCUCUCUCUCUCUCUCUCUCUCUCUCUCUCUCUCUCUCUCGUCUGAACAGAGCAUCAAAUUUUGGUUUGCUCAUGGUUGCUUCUAUGAUGUUGCAGACCAAAAGAUUGACUAUAAUGAUUCUAUCUUACUUUAUAUAUGCUAUGUAGAUUUUCAAACUUAGUGUUCAGUUGUCUCUUUAUUGAAUUUUGAUUUUGUAGGUUCUUUUUGUUUUGUAGUUAUCUAUAUGCUUCGACCCUUUCCACUGGCAGUAGCAGCAGGCCAGCGACACACCACCACGUCUAGUAGCCUGACGAUCCGAAUCUGUUUUAUUAAUCAAGUAUAACACAGUGCGAGAUAGAUUAUAAAAUGUUAGUUAAGUGAUGCAAAGUAUACAGAAGAAGAAAUUGAUGAAGUGAAAGAGCAUUGGGCAAGUCAGAUGUUAUCGGUUAUUCAAACUUACCGACAUUAGUUGUUUUUUGUUUUAAUAGCGCAAGUGAGAUGUUAUCAGUUAUUCAAACUUACCGAUGUUAGUUGUUUUUUGUUUUAAUAGACUAAUAGUUAUUAUAUAAUUUUAUAGUUAUGGAUUUAUUAGUAUAAUGAACUAAUAUGUAAUAUUUAUUAAUUUUGUUGAUGUGAAUUAUUAUAAUGGUCUAAUUUAUAAAUUUUACAUUUAGUCAAUUAAAAUUAUUAUUGUUA